rnacentral:snRNA from 1 species
GGAUAUGAGGGCCAUCUGGCUGUGACAUCUGUCACCCCACUGAUCACCAGGGUUGAUUUGUCUGAUCUGGCUGGCUACGAAGGUGUCCCCUUCCUCCCUCACCACUUCAUGUGUGUCCCUCCCGAAGCUGUGUUGUGUGCUUGGCCAAAGAGGAUAGUCUUGCCUGAAUAGAGAUGGACUGGUCUUUGGUUGGGGUAUAUGAGUAGCUGUGCUCCCCUGCUAGAAUCUUCAAACAAGCUCUCAAGAAAAGCAAGAAGAGUGGACCCCUAUUGCACCUAUGUCAAGCACAAGAAAGUGGCUCAGAAAAGUUAAGUAACUUUCUCCAU